rnacentral:pre_miRNA from 1 species
CAACUACUCCCUCCGUCCGAAAAAGCUUGUCCCUCAAAUGGAUGUAUCUAGCACUAACUUGAUGCUAAAUACAUUCAUUUGAGGGACAAGCUUUUUUGGACGGGGGGAGUAGUAG